rnacentral:siRNA from 1 species
UAUCCUACACUAGAAAACACA